rnacentral:rRNA from 1 species
AAGCUGAGUAUCUUGUACUGAAUACAUAGGUGCAAGAGGCGAACCAGGGGAACUGAAACAUCUAAGUACCCUGAGGAAAAGAAAUCAACCGAGAUUCCCUUAGUAGUGGCGAGCGAACGGGGACCAGCCCUUAAGUUGGUUUGAGAUUAGUGGAACGCUCUGGAAAGUGCGGCCAUAGUGGGUGAUAGCCCCGUACACGAAAAUCUCUUGUCAAUGAAAUCGAGUAGGACGGAGCACGAGAAACUUUGUCUGAAUAUGGGGGGACCAUCCUCCAAGGCUAAAUACUACUGACUGACCGAUAGUGAACCAGUACCGUGAGGGAAAGGCGAAAAGAACCCCGGAGAGGGGAGUGAAAUAGAACCUGAAACCGUAUGCGUACAAGCAGUGGGAGCCUACUUUGUUAGGUGACUGCGUACCUUUUGUAUAAUGGGUCAGCGACUUAUAUUCAGUGGCGAGCUUAACCGAAUAGGGGAGGCGUAGCGAAAGCGAGUCUUAAUAGGGCGUUUAGUCGCUGGGUAUAGACCCGAAACCGGGCGAUCUAUCCAUGGGCAGGUUGAAGGUUAGGUAACACUGACUGGAGGACCGAACCGACUACCGUUGAAAAGUUAGCGGAUGACCUGUGGAUCGGAGUGAAAGGCUAAUCAAGCUCGGAGAUAGCUGGUUCUCCUCGAAAGCUAUUUAGGUAGCGCCUCAUGUAUCACUCCAGGGGGUAGAGCACUGUUUCGGCUAGGGGGUCAUCCCGACUUACCAAACCGAUGCAAACUCCGAAUACCUGGAAGUGCCGAGCAUGGGAGACACACGGCGGGUGCUAACGUCCGUCGUGAAAAGGGAAACAACCCAGACCGUCAGCUAAGGUCCCAAAGUCAUGGUUAAGUGGGAAACGAUGUGGGAAGGCUUAGACAGCUAGGAGGUUGGCUUAGAAGCAGCCACCCUUUAAAGAAAGCGUAAUAGCUCACUAGUCGAGUCGGCCUGCGCGGAAGAUGUAACGGGGCUCAAACCAUGCACCGAAGCUACGGGUGUCAUCUUUGAUGACGCGGUAGAGGAGCGUUCUGUAAGCCUGUGAAGGUGAGUUGAGAAGCUUGCUGGAGGUAUCAGAAGUGCGAAUGCUGACAUGAGUAACGACAAUGCGAGUGAAAAACUCGCACGCCGAAAGACCAAGGUUUCCUGCGCAACGUUAAUCGACGCAGGGUUAGUCGGUCCCUAAGGCGAGGCUGAAAAGCGUAGUCGAUGGAAAACAGGUUAAUAUUCCUGUACUUCCAGUUAUUGCGAUGGAGGGACGGAGAAGGUUAGGCCAGCCUGGCGUUGGUUGUCCAGGUUUAAGGUGGUAGGCUGAAAUCUUAGGCAAAUCCGGGAUUUCAAGGCCGAGAGCUGAUGACGAGUUGCCU